rnacentral:rRNA from 1 species
UUGGANUGGGGGAACCCUGAUCCAGCCAUUCCGCGUGAGUGAAGAAGGCCUUCGGGUUGUAAAGCUCUUUUGUCCGGAACGAAACGGUUACGGCUAAUACCUGUGACUACUGACGGUACCGGAAGAAUAAGCACCGGCUAACUACGUGCCAGCAGCCGCGGUAAUACGUAGGGUGCGAGCGUUAAUCGGAAUUACUGGGCGUAAAGCGUGCGCAGGCGGUUUUGUAAGCCAGAUGUGAAAUCCCCGGGCUUAACCUGGGAAUGGCAUUUGGGACUGCAAGGCUUGAGUGCGGCAGAGGAGACUGGAAUUCCUGGUGUAGCAGUGAAAUGCGUAGAUAUCAGGAGGGACACCGAUGGCGAAGGCAGGUCUCUGGGCUGACACUGACGCUCAUGCACGAAAGCGUGGGGAGCAAACAGGAUUAGAUACCCUGGUAGUCCACGCCCUAAACGAUGUCGACUGGUUGUUGGGGGUUUGACACUCUCAGUAACGAAGCUAACGCGUGAAGUCGACCGCCUGGGGAGUACGGCCGCAAGGUUAAAACUCAAAGAAAUUGACGGA